AUUGAACGCUGGCGGCAGGCCUAACGCAUGCAAGUCGAGCGGAUGAGAAAAGCUUGCUUUUCGAUUCAGCGGCGGACGGGUGAGUAAUGCCUAGGAAUCUGCCUGUUAGUGGGGGAUAACUCGGGGAAACUCGGGCUAAUACCGCAUACGUCCUACGGGAGAAAGUGGGGGAUCUUCGGACCUCACGCUAACAGAUGAGCCUAGGUCGGAUUAGCUAGUAGGUGAGGUAAUGGCUCACCUAGGCGACGAUCCGUAACUGGUCUGAGAGGAUGAUCAGUCACACUGGAACUGAGACACGGUCCAGACUCCUACGGGAGGCAGCAGUGGGGAAUAUUGGACAAUGGGCGAAAGCCUGAUCCAGCCAUGCCGCGUGUGUGAAGAAGGUCUUCGGAUUGUAAAGCACUUUAAGUUGGGAGGAGGGGCUGUAAGCUAAUAUCUUGCAGUUUUGACGUUACCAACAGAAUAAGCACCGGCUAACUCUGUGCCAGCCGCCGCCGUAA
rnacentral:rRNA from 1 species